UUUUGGUUCAGUGGUAGAAUGCUCGCCUGCCACGCGGGCGCCCCAGGUUCGAUUCUGGAUGCAU